AGUGAACGCUGGCGGUAGGCCUAACCAUGGCAGUUGAACCGCAGCACCAGUAAAGGCUGGCCUUACCGGUGGCGAGUGGCGGAAGGGUGGGGGAAACAACGGAAUCUUCUUUUUCGGGGGGGAUAAAGUAAGGAAAAUUUCCGUUAUACCGCCAACGAACUACGGGGGAAAGCAGGGGAAUCUCCGACCUUGCGCGAAUGAAAUAGACGAUGUCGGAUUAGCUAGUUGGCGGGGUAAAGGCCCACCAAGGCGACGAUCCGUAGCUGGUCUGAGAGGAUGAUCAGCCACACUGGAACUGAGACACGGUCCAGACUCCUACGGGAGGCAGCAGUGGGGAAUAUUGGACAAUGGGCGCAAGCCUGAUCCAGCCAUACCGCGUGGGUGAAGAAGGCCUUCGGGUUGUAAAGCCCUUUUGUUGGGAAAGAAAAGCAGCAGGUUAAUACCCCGCUGUUCUGACGGUACCCAAAGAAUAAGCACCGGCUAACUUCGUG
rnacentral:rRNA from 1 species